rnacentral:rRNA from 1 species
UAAGGAAUAUUGCACAAUGAGCGAAAGCCUGAUGCAGCAACGCCGCGUGAGUGAUGAAGGCCUUCGGGUUGUAAAGCUCUGUCUUCUGGGACGAUAAUGACGGUACCAGAGGAGGAAGCCACGGCUAACUACGUGCCAGCAGCCGCGGUAAUACGUAGGCGGCAAGCGUUGUCCGGAUUUACUGGGCGUAAAGGAUGCGUAGGCGGAUACUUAAGUCAGAUGUGAAAAUCCCGGGCUUAACUUGGGAACUGCAUUUGAAACUGGGUAUCUAGAGUGCGGGAGAGGACAGUGUAAUUCCGAGUGUAGCGGUGUAAUGCGUAGAGAUUAGGAAGAACACCAGUGGCGAAGGCGACUUUCUGGACCGUAACUGACGCUGAGGCAUGAAAGCGUGGGGAGCAAAC